rnacentral:rRNA from 1 species
UACGGAGGGUGCAAGCGUUGUUCGGAAUUAUUGGGCGUAAAGGGCGUGUAGGCGGCCUCAUAAGUCUGAUGUGAAAGCCCCGGGCUCAACCCGGGAAGUGCAUUGGAAACUGUGAGACUUGAGUACGGGAGAGGGCAGUGGAAUUCCCAGUGUAGGAGUGAAAUCCGUAGAUAUUGGGAGGAACACCGGUGGCGAAGGCGGCUGCCUGGACCGAUACUGACGCUGAGACGCGAAAGCGUGGGGAGCAAACAGG